rnacentral:rRNA from 1 species
CCUACGGGAGGCUGCAGUGAGGAAUAUUGGUCAAUGGGCGCGAGCCUGAACCAGCCAAGUAGCGUGAAGGAUGACUGCCCUACGGGUUGUAAACUUCUGUUAUAAAGGAAUAAAGUGAGGCACGUGUGCCUUUUUGUAUGUACGUUAUGAAUAAGGAUCGGCUAACUCCGUGCCAGCAGCCGCGGUAAUACGGAGGAUCCGAGCGUUAUCCGGAUUUAUUGGGUUUAAAGGGAGCGUAGAUGGGUUGUUAAGUCAGUUGUGCAAGUUUGCGGCUCAACCGUAAAAUUGCAAUUGAUACUGGCAGCCUUGAGUACAGUUCAGGUCGGCGGAUUUCGUGGUGUAGCUG